UGAAAUUUGCUCUUUUUUGCUGCUUGUUGCUCUUAGGUGCCGCAACUGCAGAAGACAUAAAUAGCAGUCUCUCUGCUCCUAGCACCCCGAGGCUGAUUGCUUUUGGGGAUUCCAUUCUCGAGGCCAAUGGUUGGAUGCUCAACGUCGAUGGCAAGGUAAUCAUUGGACCCCAGGAGCUGCCAGACUUUGAUUCUGCUUUGGCAGCCCUAUUCAGCUGCUUCUACUCGUUCAACAUCCAAUGUCAGACGGAAGCAGAGAAUACUCUUGAGUUCAUUCAGAGAUUCAUUCUCAAGAUCAAUUCCGAAGGCUCAAAAUGCCAAUCAAGAACACAAAUUAGCCGACGGCCAGGAAAGGGUGCAACGAAAGAAUGCCAACCUCAACCCUGUUGGGGCUGCAUUUAUAAGAGAGCUGCUAGAUU